UUUGUUUGUUUGUUUUUUUCGCGACAGGGUUUCUCUGUGUAGCCCUGGCUGUCCUGGAACUCACUCUGUAGACCAGGCUGGCCUUGAACUCAGAAAUCCGCCUGCCUCUGCCUCCCAAGUGCUGGGAUUAAAGGCAUGUGCCACCACGCCCGGCUCUUUCCUACUUCUUUAGCUUCACCUUCUGACCUUUCCCUUUCUUUUAAUUAACCUCCAGCCACACUAAUUUAUGUAGACAUACAAUGUUUCUGGUUUAGGCUUUUGCAUAUACACUACUCUGUUUAUCUGGCUUGUUCCAGCACUAGUGCUGCCAUCCUUCAAUUAACUUAUGCCUUAAUUUUCAGUCUAAGUAAUGCUUUCUCAGAGAAGCCUUGUUGAUUUUUUUUUUCCUUUACUCUCAACCCCCAAGUUGGAUAAAAGCUACUUUAGGCAGAACCCUCUCCUGCAAAUACAACUGACCUCUCUCUCUCUCUCUCUCUCUCUCUCUCUCUCACACACACACACACACACACGUAUAUACUAGGUAAAAAAAAGUAAACAUAAAGGGACUCAUUUUCACAUUUUUUCUCAAGAAUUGGUUAAAUGAAUCAAAUUGGAAAUUGCAUAAGCUUGUAAUGAUUUAAAGUGUAAGAUGCUGUAAGAACCAUCAUGUGUUUUGAAAGCAUCAGUCUUCAGAUACUCUUGUCAGAAGAAUUCUACUGCAAAGGACACAUCAAAGGAAAACAGGUAGGAGUAUGGCUCAGCUGGUGCUUGGUUAGCAUGCUGGAAGCCUGGAUUCUGUUUGAAAAUGAGCAGGGGGCAAAGAACAACUGGGGCUCCAGUUAAGGAUUAUUUUUUUACUUAUUCCUGUGUGAAUCAGGAACAGGAUUGUGUGAAAUCAUUCUGAUUUCAGACUGUCUAAUGGAGGUAAAUCUUUUCUUUUGUAAAUUAGAGAUAAUUUUUUCCACUAUGACAUGAACUUUAUCUCCUUUAUAAACUUACUGUAUGUAAUUUUAAAAAAUUAUGUUAUUUGUGUGGUCUCUGUGUACAUGUUCAUUCAAACAUGGCAUGUAUGUUGAUGUGGUCAGAAGACAUCUUUCAGGGGUCAUUUCAAUCUUCACUGUUGGAUGCAGGGAUCAAACUCAUGUCGUAAAGCUUGGGCAGCUAGUUCCUUUUCUGGUUGGGCAAUUCUUUACAGGUUCUAUUUUAUGAUUUUUAUGUUAGGAAAGAAAGUUCUUGGGAAAUCUGUAAGAGUAGUUUAUAUUUUUUAGCAACAGGUUAAAUUGAAACUAGUAAAGAUGAGAUGACGGUUUGUUUAUUUAUUUUUUGUUUAUUUGUUUUUUUUGUUUGAGACAAGGUUUCUCUGUGUAGCCCUGGCUGUCCUGGAACUCUGUAGACCAGGUUGGCCUCAAACUUAAAGAGAUCUGCCUGCCUCUGCCCCUGAGUGCUGGGAUAAAAGUCGUAUGGCACCAUGUCUGCCUUAAACUGGGUCUUAAGCCACUUCAGGCUCCCAGUUCAGGAUGUGUUCAUUUAUGAUGGUAUUUAGUUACUUGCAAGAUGAGGUUUCUACAAAUAGAUAAAACAGUUCUUGGUAGAUAAAGAAGUCAAUAUUAAAGUUUAAUAACAUGUUUUAGGGCUUUAAGAAUUUAUACUGAAAACAAUAAAACAAUAAAGUGUAAUAGAUGUCAAACAUAAGCAGUUGGUUUUAUUUUCUAGUUUACAAUGGCGUUAACAGUACUAGUAACAGGUACUUAGCACUUACUGUUUCUGCUGUUGGAGUAUACUAGAUGUGUGCCUAAGUGCUUGUGGUUAUGUAUCAUAUGCCUCCCCAUUAGGGAGAAGACAUAAAAACAACUAGUGUAGACUUUAGUUCCUAAGAAAUAGAGAGUGGCUCUUUAGAAAGACUUUGUAGAAAAGGAUUCAUUGGUGGAAAAGAAUCCUGAGUCUGGGAAGUGACUCAGAAUUCAUUGAUGAGGAUGAACUGGUAGUGGUUCAAAUGUGGGGUUCCAGCCAAGUGUAGUGGUGUGUGCCUGUAAUCCUAGCCCUUGAAGACUGGAAGUAGGAGGGACAGAGUCAGCCUCCACAUACAGAGUUCAAAGGAAGCCUACAUUACACGAAACCCUGUGUCCAAAACCAAAACCAAAAAAAAAAAAGCAGCAGCAUUUGGGAUUUGCCUGAAUGAUAAGGGAAAGGAUAAACAUAGGGAAAUCAGGCCAAGCAUGGUGGCACACACCUUUAGUUCCAGCACUCUGGAGGCAGGUGGACCUCUGUGAGUUUGAAGCCAGCCUGGUCUACAAAGUAAGUCCAGGACAGCCAGGGCUCUGGCACACAGAAAAACCCUGUCUUAAAAAACAAACAAAAGGGCUGUGAGAUGGCUCAGUGGGUAAGAGCACUCACUGACUGUUCUUACAAAGGUCCUGAGUUCAAAUCCCAACAACCACAUGGUGGCUCACAACCAUCCAUAAUGAGAUCUGAUGCCCUCUUCUGGUGUGUCUGAAGACAGCUACAGUGUACUUAAAAUAAUAAAUAAAUCUUAAAAACAAACAAACAAACAAAAAACUAACCUAAACCAAAAAAAACAGAGGGAAAUGGAAGAUCAGUAGCUGAUCAUGCAUAAUGUCACUCACAUUUGAUUCUUCUAACUGGAGGAAAUCAGUAGAUUUUGUCCAAAUGAUCAAAUGAGUGAAAAGUUGAUAAUCUUGUAUUAAAGUUUGUUGUAGAAUUUAAGAGAAAAUUAUGCUUGGAGAGACCUAAAAUUAAGAAAGAAAUUUUUGUUUUGAAGUUUUUUGGUUUUUUUUGUGUUUUUUUUUUUGUUUUUUUGAGAGCUUUCCAAAAGGUAAGUGAAGAUACCCUUUUCCCACCUUUAAAAACUACAGCUCAACACACCUUAGAAGCAGCCUUUAAGACAGUUACGACGUAAUAAUGUUUCUAAAGUCAACAAAGGAUGUACUUUUUCAUUGACUUAGUUUCAAAAUCUAGUAGC
rnacentral:lncRNA from 1 species